rnacentral:tRNA from 1 species
CGAGACGUAGCUAUAAUAUUAAAGCAUUCAGCUUACACCUGAAAGAUAUCCGCAUCCAACCAGAUCGUCUG